AGCACAGAUUAAUGACGUGAGCUACCUGAAUGACUGAACUCAGUCAUCUGAAAGUGCUUCCCAGGAUGGUGAUGUCUUUACUCUAAGAUUUCCACAUUGCAAGUAGAACCGCUUGGCUUGAGGUAUAAAGAUUGACCCUAAAGCAAGAAGAAGAGAAUAGAAGAAAUGCUGACAUGUUAUAAGAAAAAAUUAGGGAGCAGUUAAGAAGAAAGGAAGACCAAUAUAGUAAAGAAGCUGAAAUGAAACAGCAACUUGAACUCACUCUCACAGCACUAGAUGGAACUGAAGACUGAGAAAUGAUCUGAAUCAGGUUAUAGAAGAGUGACAUGACUCAGAAGCAGCUUUCUGGAGAACGGAAUGCCAGAAUCUUACAGGAGGGAAUCCUGGCCAAUCACCCUGCCAAAGAAAAGCAGAAAGAAAUGGCUGAUAAGGAAAUGAACUCUUAGCCUAUCUUACUAUUUGAGACAUUACAAAAAGGUAUUGAAAGUUAUGGAAGCAGCAAAUAAUAUCAUGGUUGUCUAAGAAGAGCUCUCCAAGUUUUACCUAUCACCAUCUCUGUAUGCACUAGCUAGCUUUGCUCCCCCUUUGGGAUUUCUGAAGCAAGGGGGCAGCACGAAACACCUCGCCUGUGGUCCAUUUGAGGUGCAAGUUUCCCUCGCCCUGGUGACCACAGUAUGGAACCUGGCCCUCUCAGACAUGCUCCCACAGCCUGCUUCCUCGUGGGCAGUACUGCUAUGACCUAGGAAUGUGUUUGCAAGGCUCGAAAAGUGCAGGGAGACACGCAGCCCUGACUUUGCAAUUUAGGCCCUUGGAUCAGGCCUGGAGGUCUGACGUCUGAGAAGUGAAACACGUGCUGCAAGAUAGAGGCCCGAAAACUCUCUCUGGGGCUGCCUUUCCUGGCUCAAAGGAAGAUAGCUUCCCCAGCCGCCUGUGGGCUGAGAAUCACACACGGCUGGAAAGCGCUUGCUUGGAGUUUAUUUUCAGUGGCAGUGGCCCCUGAGCCCUGGUGCCUAGCGAGGGCUUCCACACUCAAAGGGAAAGUCAAAGCGACGUCCAAACGUCUGUUCCAUCACAUUUCCUCUGCAGGACAGAUCUAGUGAGCCUAGGUCUGUCUGGAACAUUCUUGGAUCCUAUGGGGACACAUUCUGUCAAGCUGGAUACUGGUCCUAGGGGGCAAAAUUCGCAUUUUUCUCUUGGGGAGCCCUAAUGAAGUGCGGCCUAGUAAAUGCUUGAAAAUCCAUCCAAUUGCUCUUUUCUUCCUUCUGACAGAGCUAGCUUUGCUCUCCUCUUUUGGAUUUCUGAAGCAAGGGGUUGGCCCUCAACUCCUCGCCUGGGGCCAAUUUGAGGAGCAAGGUAACCUUGAGGAGGUGGCCACAGUAUGGAACCCAGCCCUCUCAAACUCACUCCUGCAGCCGGCAUCUUCAUGGGCAGUACUGCUAUGACCUAGGAAUGUGUUUACAAGGUUCGGAAAAUUCAGGGGGACACAUGGCCCUGACCCUGGAAUUUAGGGCCUUGGAGCAGGCCUAGAGGUCUGAUGUCUGAGACAUGAAACAGUUGCUGUAAGAUAGAGGCCUGAAAACACACUCUCUCUGGAUGCCUUUUCUUCCUCAAAAGAAGAUAG